GACGAACGCUGGCGGCGUGCUUAACACAUGCAAGUCGAACGGAAAGGCCCUGCUUUUGUGGGGUGCUCGAGUGGCGAACGGGUGAGUAACACGUGAGUAACCUGCCCUUGACUUUGGGAUAACUUCAGGAAACUGGGGCUAAUACCGGAUAGGAGCUCCUGCUGCAUGGUGGGGGUUGGAAAGUUUCGGCGGUUGGGGAUGGACUCGCGGCUUAUCAGCUUGUUGGUGGGGUAGUGGCUUACCAAGGCUUUGACGGGUAGCCGGCCUGAGAGGGUGACCGGCCACAUUGGGACUGAGAUACGGACCAGACGCCAACGGGAGGCAGUAGUGGGGAAUAUUGCACAAUGGGCGGGAGCCUAAUGCAGCAACGCCGCGUGUGGGAUGACGGCCUUCGGGGUGUAAACCGCUUUCGCCUGUGACGAAGCGUGAGUGACGGUAAUGGGUAAAGAAGCACCGGCUAACUACGUG
rnacentral:rRNA from 1 species